GACGAACGCUGGCGGCGUGCUUAACACAUGCAAGUCGAACGAAGUGGCGAACGGGUGAGUAACGUGUAAUCAACCUGACCUUCAGAGGGGGACAACAGUUAGAAACGACUGCUAAUACCGAAUACUGAAGGAGGGGAUUGCGUCUGCUUAGCUAGUUGGAGGGGUAACGGCCCACCAAGGCGAGGAUCAGUAGCCGGUCUGAGAGGAUGAACGGCCAAAAUGGGAAUGAGACACGGGCCAAACUCCUACGGGAGGCAGCAGUGGGGAAUCUUGCGAAAUGGAGGAAAGUCUGACGGAGCAACGCCGCGGGAGGGAUGACGGCCUGCUGGUUGUAAAGGUCUGUUAAUCGGGGCGCGGUACCGGAAGAGAAAGCCACGGCUAACUACGUGCCAGCAGCCGCGGUAAUUC
rnacentral:rRNA from 1 species